GACCUGGGCUCUGGGUUUGACUAGGAAAGAAGGAAGAAGAUUCUGCAAGUCCACCCCAGGUCUCAGGGAGUAAGUCUCCAGAUGCCCAGAGAGCACAGGCGUUUGUGCCCUGCAGCAGAACCGGACUUAACACCACGUGGCAUUGAAGGACUUGCGUGACAUUUUACAAAGUACACAAUAUGCUAUUGCACACGCUGCCCACACCUAAGGAGGCCUGGACUCAUGCAGCUUUGCAGAACGGCUCUGACCCCCCACCUGCCAUCGCAGCUGAGGGACUGUGAAGUCUCUCCGUGGCUAAAGAUUCCAAUUCACAUCACUCAUCAAGCCAAUAAAGGGCUAAAGAAAUUGCUUCAGAAAAUAGACUUACACAUAAAAUGCGCUUUUGUUUUUCUCUGCAGGACCAGAAUGA